rnacentral:lncRNA from 1 species
UGCACUUUAAACACUCCAAAUUUUGGUUCUCUAGCUAUUUAACAUAUUUAGCUAGCAAAACAAAAUUUUUUGCCUUUAUGCGAUUUAGUCCUUUUUCGCAAUUAAGCAUGAAAUUACUAAAAUUAUUUCACCAAAACAUUCAUGCACUAAUAUAAUCAUGCUAUAACACAUAAAAUAUCAUUAAAAAUAAUUUCUCCGGCCCAGAAUAGUGGUUUCAAAUACACUAUUCUGACUAGGCCAAAAAUCAGGCUGCUACAC